rnacentral:rRNA from 1 species
CACGGGGGGAGCAAGCGUUGUUCGGAAUCACUGGGCGUAAAGGGCGUGUAGGCGGUCAGGUAAGUGGGAUGUGAAAUGCCUCGGCUCACCCGAGGCACUGCAUUCCAAACUGCUUGGCUUGAGUAUGGGAGAGGAUGAGGGAAUUCCUGGUGUAGCGGUGAAAUGCGUAGAUAUCAGGAGGAACACCGGUGGCGAAGGUGCUCAUCUGGCCCAAUACUGACGCUGAGGCGCGAAAGCUAGGGGAGCAAACAGG